rnacentral:rRNA from 1 species
UAAGGUGAAGAUAGCAUAAGGGAUCCACCUCUUCCCAUUCCGAACAGAGAAGUUAAACCUUAUCACGCCGAUGGUACUGCGAAAGCGGGAGAGUAGGUAAUCGCCCCCU